GGGGGAGAAGGUGCCCCUUCUGCUAAGUUGGAGCUAGGGAAGUUAAAGCAGGACGUCUGGUGCGACGUCGUCCUUAUGGACGUAUUACAUAUCCUACUCGUACUACCAAGGUCUUCCGAGUAGGGUUCUACCUGCGUAGAGAGAACACCGCCUUAUUUUUAACGGGAAACGCGGUUAUUGCCAUCAGAAGACUUUGGUUGGCUAAGGAGAAAGGGUGUUUGUUGGCAUACCAUUUCUGGACGUGGGAAAGAGUCCAUAGAAUGCUAUGCCUUGAUAGCAACAAAGCCAACUAGCAGAGCCGAUUCGGGGAUCGGUGGGAUGCCGUAGCUUUAAGAGAUAGGGGCGGAGGCAAUCGGAAAGGCUUUUUAGGAACGAGGCCCCCCCUCCUAUGUUGUAAAAGGGAAGUGCAGAUCUUUAUCUUUCUGCAACACUCUUCCGACUUGAUGCCGCCCCUGAAUCCGCAAGUACCGGCUUGAUUACCCCCUAAGAUAAGAGGAGGAUAUAGAAGCAGAUUUAGUUGCAGGUAGGAGCGAGUCUACCCUGCAAAGCGGCUUCUCGCUUAUCCCCAUUUUCCAAUGAGGAGAUCCGACGUCAAGUGCAGGAAUUGCUGUCAAAGGGGCGGGAGAGUCUCAGUCCGUGCUCAACGCCUGCUUGACUAGCUCAAAAGGAAGCAG
rnacentral:lncRNA from 1 species